GUAGGUGGCAAGCGUUGCCCGGAAUUAUUGGGCGUAAAGCGCGCGCAGGCGGUUCUUUAAGUCUGAUGUGAAAGCCCACGGGCUCAACCGUGGAGGGUCAUUGGAAACUGGAGAACUUGAGUACAGAAGAGGAAAGCGGAAUUCCACGUGUAGCGGUGAAAUGCGUAGAGAUGUGGAGGAACACCAGUGGCGAAGGCGGCUUUCUGGUCUGUAACUGACGCUGAGGCGCGAAAGCGUGGGGAGCAAACAGGAUUAGAUACCCUGGUAGUCCACGCCGUAAACGAUGAGUGCUAAGUGUUAGGGGGUUUCCGCCCCUUAGUGCUGCAGCUAACGCAUUAAGCACUCCGCCUGGGGAGUACGGCCGCAAAGGCUG
rnacentral:rRNA from 1 species